GAUGAGCGCUGGCGGCGUGCCUAAUACAUGCAAGUCGAGCGAACAGACGAGGAGCUUGCUCCUCUGACGUUAGCGGCGGACGGGUGAGUAACACGUGGAUAACCUACCUAUAAGACUGGGAUAACUUCGGGAAACCGGAGCUAAUACCGGAUAAUAUAUUGAACCGCAUGGUUCAAUAGUGAAAGACGGUUUUGCUGUCACUUAUAGAUGGAUCCGCGCCGCAUUAGCUAGUUGGUAAGGUAACGGCUUACCAAGGCAACGAUGCGUAGCCGACCUGAGAGGGUGAUCGGCCACACUGGAACUGAGACACGGUCCAGACUCCUACGGGAGGCAGCAGUGGGGAAUCUUCCGCAAUGGGCGAAAGCCUGACGGAGCAACGCCGCGUGAGUGAUGAAGGUCUUCGGAUCGUAAAACUCUGUUAUUAGGGAAGAACAAAUGUGUAAGUAACUAUGCACGUCUUGACGGUACCUAAUCAGAAAGCCACGGCUAACUACGUG
rnacentral:rRNA from 1 species